AUUGAACGCUGGCGGCAGGCCUAAAACAUGCAAGUCGAGCGGAGCGGCGGACGGGUGAGUAAUGCCUGGGAAUCUGCCUGGUAGUGGGGGAUAACUUCCGGAAACGGGCGCUAAUACCGCAUACUAUCAGAUGAGCCUAGGUCGGAGUAGCUAGAUGGUGGGGGAAAGGCCUACCAAGUCGACGAGCAGUAACUGGUCUGAGAGGAUGAUCAGUCACACUGGAACUGAGACAAGUUCCAGACGCCGACGGGAGGUAGGAGUAGGUAAUAUUGGCAAAUGGACGAAAGUCUGAGCCAGCCAUGCCGCGUGUAUGAAGAAGGCCUUCGGGUUGUAAAGUACUUUCAGCGGGGAGGCGUUACCCGCAGAAGAAGCACCGGCGAACUCCGUGCCAGCAGCCGCGGUAAUAC
rnacentral:rRNA from 1 species